rnacentral:rRNA from 1 species
CGAGCGAUGGAUUAAGAGCUUGCUCUUAUGAAGUUAGCGGCGGACGGGUGAGUAACACGUGGGUAACCUGCCCAUAAGACUGGGAUAACUCCGGGAAACCGGGGCUAAUACCGGAUAACAUUUUGAACCGCAUGGUUCGAAAUUGAAAGGCGGCUUCGGCUGUCACUUAUGGAUGGACCCGCGUCGCAUUAGCUAGUUGGUGAGGUAACGGCUCACCAAGGCAACGAUGCGUAGCCGACCUGAGAGGGUGAUCGGCCACACUGGGACUGAGACACGGCCCAGACUCCUACGGGAGGCAGCAGUAGGGAAUCUUCCGCAAUGGACGAAAGUCUGACGGAGCAACGCCGCGUGAGUGAUGAAGGCUUUCGGGUCGUAAAACUCUGUUGUUAGGGAAGAACAAGUGCUAGUUGAAUAAGCUGGCACCUUGACGGUACCUAACCAGAAAGCCACGGCUAACUACGUGCCAGCAGCCGCGGUAAUACGUAGGUGGCAAGCGUUAUCCGGAAUUAUUGGGCGUAAAGCGCGCGCAGGUGGUUUCUUAAGUCUGAUGUGAAAGCCCACGGCUCACCCGUGGAGGGUCAUUGUAAACUGGGAUACUUGAGUGCAGAGGAGAACGUGCAACUUCCUUGUGUAGCGGAGAUAAUGCGUGGAGAUAUGGAGGAUCACCUAGUCGACGGAAUGCUACUUUGUGUUCUGCAGCUG